UCUUACAAGUACCAACAGCGGGUGCCCUUGCCAGGCUGGGAUCCAGCUGCCUUGUGGGAAAGGCGCCUACUUAACUGUAGGUGUGAGAUGCCGGAUGGAAUGGUGAUGUGGUUAAAGCACUGGGUUGGGACUUGGGAACAGGGAUCCGGCAUGAAGUCUGAACCUCACGGUGAGCCGUUGGGAUGGGUUAUGCCUGUCCAGGCCCCAGUGCAUGGAAACUUUCUAAUCACAUCACCAAAGCUGAAACUUGCUUUCCGCCCCACGCCAGCCCCCAGCUGCCUUCCCAAGCAGUUUAGACAGCUGGAGAUUAUCUCAUGAAAACAAUCCCAGCAGUAGACGGGGGUCAAAUUCACGACAGCAGCAGCCUUAAUCUGAGUCAGCAUGGGAAAUCCAGAAGCACAGUGACAGAUGCUGAUAAUCCAGCCUCGCUCCCUGGAGAGGAGGGGCAGACAAUUGCUGUAGGACAGGAGAAGCUGUGUAUGGAAGCCCUGGGUUGAAGGAACAUGGAGGGAGCAUCUUCCCCUCCAGGCCCAGGAGAGGCUGGAGCCUCCAGAUCAAGGUGAGAGCUCAUUGGUGAUGUGUUGGGGUGGGAGGUGCAUGUCCAGAACUGGGUGAGCAUCAAGAAUGAAUUCCCCUUUGUCAGUGAAGGGGGAAGCAGCUGAAGACUGAAUUCCUUGUCCAUCCCAUGACAGCUGCAUCCUUCCAAUGGGUGGACGGCUUCUGAGAGAGGAGCAGAAUUGAAAGAACAUGGGGCAUGAAGGAGAGACCAUCAAACAGCUCCAAGGACUCUGGGAAAGGGUGAGGAGGACAGUAGGAGCCGUGGUGGGUGAAAGGAAGUGUGGUCUAAUGGACUGGACAGCAGACCCAGACUUCCUGUGUGACUGUGGGCGAGUCACUCAAUCUCCAGAGCACGCAUGGUAAUGCCAUGAGCUUUCCCCGCAGAGAGAGCCAUGACACCAGACCCUGCUCCGUAGGUGUCUGCGUCACAAAAAUCACAACCACACCUGGCGCUAGCGGCUCCCUGUGGGUCCGGGCAGCAGAAAGGCCAAGGACUGACUCAACUCCCCUUUCAUUGUGUGAGGGGGGUGCUCCUGAGCAGGCCACAGGCACUCCACCAGGGCAGGGUGGGAGAAGCUGGCAGUGCUGGUGCCCCUGCUCUAUAUAGGCUGUGUCUACACAUAGAGCCUCAGCUGGCAUAGCCCCCUAGCGCAGCAUAGACUCAGCAUGCACUGACAGAAGGAGGUUUUUGCUGGUGUAGGAACACCACCUCCCCGAAAGCCUUUAGCUGUGGCAUCAAAAACCCUCUUCUGUUAAGAUAGCAGCAUCUACACUGGGGUUUUUUAGCUACAUUGGUCAGGAGUAUGGGUUUUCACUCCCCUUGUCUGACAGAGCUAUGCCGGUAUAAGGUUUCAGUGUCGAUCAAGCAUAGGCAAUAUCAGGCACCCGUUCCUGUCCGUCCUGCACCUUCUACCAGUAUUACCUUCACUUGAGGGCAACAUCUAAUCUAAAAUCUAGUACUUCUCAUCAAAGAAGGUCAGUGUAAUCAGCCCCAUUUUACAGACGGGGAAACUGAGGCACAGAAAGAGGCCCAAACUCACCCAGCAACGGAGCUCAGCAUAGAACUCACCUCUCCGGAGUCCCAGGCUAAUGCUUUAGCUGCUGCUACUCUGAAGAGAAACCUAAAGAAUACAGCCAAAGCCACCUCUCUGAUUAGAAAGGUUUGGAAAACGCCCCUGCAGAUAUUGGAGUGUGGAGCUGGACAAUCAGCCAGACGCCCAGCCCCUUCUAUCCCUGUCUGAUCCUCCCUUUGAAUUUACAAAAGCAGAAUAAAGCGCCUACCGAUGCAAAAGCUGAGCUCAGAACAAUUGCUCUAGGUCAGUUCUCAGAUAGGGCUCUUAGCCUGCAGUGGAGUGGGUGGGGUAAAUCUCCCUACUAGAGUCAUCAUGGUGAGAAAUGCGGGUUUCUCCUAUAAUAAGGCAAGGAAUGUGCCAACUGAAGUGCCUGAAAGCAAAUCGCCUGUCGGUAUAUCCUCAGGAGGCUCCUAGGAUGUGAUGCCCUGUAAUGAUGGGAUGUCUGGGUUUCCUGUCCUGGGGCUAGUUCCUAGGGAGCUAGAUUGUUAAAGGUAUUUAGGUGCGUAAAGAUCAGGCCCUAAGGGACUAAGAGCCGCAGUUCUAAAGCGUCUGUGGAAUUGGUUCCCUUUGCCAUGGUUUGUAUUAAUGGAGCCUAGCAGCCUCGGCUAAGAUCAGGGCUUGUUUGUGCUACGACCAGGAGGAAGAGACCUUUCUGCACCGAAGAGUUUGCCACUGACAAAGAGCAGAAGAAAGUGCCGUGAGCCCCAUUUGACGGGGGGACCAAGGCACGGCAGGAUGAGGUGACAAGGUCACGCAGGGGAGUCCAUGGUAGAGCUGGGAACCGGAAUCCCAUCCCAGGACCUUACCUACAAGAUCAUCCUUCUGUUCUGGGGAACUGAUGCCCUCUACUCAUGAGGAACCCCCACCACAGGACAGCGAUUUUGCCCCCCUCCUCUGUUCCUUGCCUGACUAUAGACAAACCUCUCCUCCUCCCCCUUCAGAUCUCAGACGCCGAACACCCCAAGCGCAUGCUACAAACAGUCUGCCCGGCAGGGUGACCAGUAUCUGCAGCACCACUGACCACACAGGAGGGAAGAUACUGCUGGAGGUCCUGGAGAGUUGAACUGUGCAUGCCACUGUGCCCACCAGUGUAAUGAAGGAGAAGCUGUAUUUAGCAACUUGGAUUCCAGCUCUAUUUAUGAGGCUCCAAGAUACUGCAGAGUCUGAGAACAGACUGAGGACAGUUUUUCAGGAAACCUCACCAGCUUCUGAAGAUCCGUAGUGAGGGUGUGUGCAACAACGUGAGGGAUCAUGCUUAGCCAUUCCUGGGGUUGUUAGUCAGAGGGGAUCCGGUUAGGGUAAAGUCUUCCAGAAAAGAUUAGGUGAACUCGGAAUCUGACCAUCUUUAGGAAUGUAUAUUUAGGAAGUGUUGUGGCUUCCUAAAUAUACAUCCCUAAAGGCAUGCCACCAUAAGUGACACUUACAAUUCAGGCACCCCUUUUGGUCCCAAUCACCUACCAACUCCCACAAAAAACCAAACCCUAACCCAAGCAGAGUUUAGACCCCAAAGAGGGAGAAAUGCUAAAAAGUCCAUAAUUUUACGUGGAAGAAGCUCAGAUACUAUGAUGUUGGGCAACAAUAUAAAACCCUAAGGUAAAUAGAUAGUAAAUGACACCCUGAUUAAUGUCCAGGAAAUAUCUGUGGAUGUUAACAACACCCCCUUGUUUCAUGUUCUCUGUGUUUGUAUAUAAAUCUCCCCACUGUAUUUUCCACCGAAUGCAUCCGAUGAAGUGCAUCACGAAAGCUUAUGCUCAAAUAAAUUUGUUAGUCUCUAA